rnacentral:lncRNA from 1 species
AUUUUAAAUCAGGUUUAUAUUUAUUUAUAAUUUGGCCCUGAACUUUGUCGCGCUUUUCAAUUUAGUCCCUGGCCAAGCUCAACGUUUUAAAGGCUUGGGAAAAUUGCUUUUUUGGCCCCCCACUGUUUCACACGUGUUCAAAUUAGCCCUUUUUCUUUUUUUAUUUAUUUUAAAAUCACCCCAAAACUUCGUUUUUGUUUCAAUUUUAGUCCUUUUUUAUAUUUUUAAGUUUAUUUUCAUAUUAUCCUUGCUAUUUUAUUUAUUUUUAAUAUUAUUAUAUUAUUCUCAUGAUUAUCAUUUUUAUUGUGGUUAUUUUUAUUCCUUUUAUAAUUUAUUAUUAUAUUAUUACUAUAGUUACUAUUACUAUUUCUAAUAUAUAUUACGUACAUAGUUUCCUAUAUUAUAAUAUAUUUAUAUAAUAUUAUUAAUAAGUUGUUUUUUAACAUUAUUAGUGUAAAUAGGCCAAUUUACCCGGGCCCACUAGAAACCCAAAUAUAUAAUAAAUAAAUAAAUAUGUAUAUUAAAAACCCAACAAAUAUUAUAACAGUCCAUUAAUGUCCUAUCAAGCCCAAAGACCCAAAACAGUCCUUCUAGCCCAAAUCUAGUGGCCCAAUACUUAAAAUGAACCUAAGUGGCCCAAAAGACUUCAGCAACCCUAGGUCAUCCCUCCCUCAUUUGCGCCGCAACCCUCUGCAGCCUCCAGCAACCACGCCAAGUCUCCGUACGCCAGCAUGGCUCCCGUACACACGCCAGCACGCACCCGUACCUGCAAGAAGACAAACAAACACAACAGCAAAUGAAAAUAAAAGAAAAUAUUGUAUUUUUUAUCGAUUUGAUUUUCCUUUUUUUUCUUCUUCGGCUAUAAAGCCGAAAGUUCCAUCCUUGUAAUCGACACACGCAAAAAGGCAAUACAAGAAAAGAGAAGACCACCUAUAUUCGAAGGUGAUUUUUCGAUUUAUAUUUGCGGGCGUUCCUCUUUUUUUCUUUCGAUUGUUCUUUGUUUUGUUUUUUUUUUCUCGAAAGUAAAUAAAGCGAAGAGGAGGGGACUUACCUUCGCGUAUGAGCCAUCGGAGACCACAUCUCCUUCGCUAAAAAUUGAAAUCGGAGAAGGGAUUUCAGGGGCCGAAAUCGAUAGCCUUUAGGCCAAGGUUCCAAGCGAGUGGCGCACAUGCGGUUCUCCCCCGUUCGCAGUGGUGGCGGUUGGACUGCACGGAUCCUUGGAUUCCGCCGAGUGGAGAAGGGGGCGUAUGGCUUCCUUUUGCUUUUGGUUCUAAAAGAACCAAGAAUCUUAGUCUUAGGGUUUUCUUUUUAGUUUUAAGGACAGACACAAAACGG